UUGUAUCUGGUAGCACAUAUACUAGAAUUGGAACAACGAAGAGAAGAUUAGCAUGACCCCUGUGCUUGGAAGAC
ensembl:snRNA U6 U6 spliceosomal RNA